GCAACGUAUUGCACACAAAAAAAAAGACAUCUAGAAGUCAACAUACAAAGUAUGUUGCCUAUACAAUAUAUCAUGCUCCAGAGGUAGCUUUAAUGCAAUUUGUGAAUAUUGCUAUAAACAGGGCACAUGCUAAGCAACACGUAUCACAGGAAAAUGUAGCAUGGAAUACACAGUCUGAUUAAGAAAUGCAUAUAUACUAACUACAC
rnacentral:lncRNA from 1 species